rnacentral:rRNA from 1 species
AGUACUCGAGUGGCGAACGGGUGAGUAACACGUGGGUAAUCUGCCCUGCACUCUGGGAUAAGCCCGGGAAACUGGGUCUAAUACUGGAUAUGACCUUUCUCCUUAUGGGGUUUGGUGGAAAGUUUUCGGUGUAGGAUGAGCCCGCGGCCUAUCAGCUUGUUGGUGGGGUGAUGGCCUACCAAGGCGACGACGGGUAGCCGGCCUGAGAGGGUGAUCGGCCACAUUGGGACUGAGAUACGGCCCAG